AACUGCAUUUAUGGGCGGACGGUGGAUGCCUUGGCGCCUGCAGCCGAGGAAGGACGCGGCCACGCGGCGAAAUGCUUGGGGGAGGGGCUGGCACCCGGUGAUCCCGAGGUCUCCGAAUGGGGCAACCCGGCGACCGUGAUGGGUCGUCACCGUGCUGAGCACGGAGGGCACCGGGGGAACUGAAACAUCUCAGUACCUCGAGGAAAAGAGAGGAUUCCCGGAGUAGCGGCGAGCGAAACGGGAGGAGCCUAAACCUGUUGGGCGUUACGAGCCAGUCGGCGCUGCCUGAUGGGGGUUGGACGUAGUGCGGGGAGGGGGCGACUGACCCUUCGCCGGGACAUGACUUCACAGCGGAACGGUCCUGGAACGGCCGGCCGGAGCGGGUGAGAGCCCCGUAGGCGACGUGGAGUGGUGGCCGGUGCCGCACGAACGUGAGUACCGCCGGACACGAGACAUCUGGUGGGAAGCAGGGGCGACCACGCCCCAAGGCUAAAUACUGCAGGCGACCGAUAGUGCACCAGUACCGUGAGGGAACGGUGAAAAGCACCCCGUCAAGGGGAGUGAAAGAGAUCCUGAAACCGUCCGCUUCCGGCCGGUCGGAGCCCAUUGCGUCGCAAGGCGCUGGGUGACGGCGUGCCUUUUGUAGAAUGAGCCGACGAGUGAUUCUGGGUGGCGAGGUUAAGCCAGCGACAGGUGGAGCCGGAGCGAACGCGAGUCCGAAAGGGCGCUAAGUCGUCCAGAGUCGACCCGAAACCGGGUGAGCUAUCCAUGGGCAGGGUGAAGCGCGCGGAACACGCGCGUGGAGGCCCGAACCCGGACCGAUUGCAAACGGUUGGGAUGACCUGUGGAUAGAGGUGAAAUGCCAAGCGAACCCGGAGAUAGCUGGUUCUCCCCGAAAUGUAUUUAGGUACAGCCUCAAGCUGCUGUGCCCCAUGGAGGUAGCGCGCUGGAUCGGCGAUGGGGCUUCCCGCUUACUGACCCGACUCAAACGACGAAUGCUGUGGGGCAAGCUUGGGAGUGAGACUACGGGUGCUAAGAUUCGUGGUCGAGAGGGCAACAACCCAGAUCACCAGCUAAGGCCCCCAAGUCCAGGCUAAGUGGGCAAGGUAGUUGCGACGCGUCAACAACCAGGAGGUUGGCUUAGAAGCAGCCACCCUUGAAAGAGUGCGUAAUAGCUCACUGGUCGAAGGUGUCGCGGCGCCGACAAUCCACCGGGGCUCAAGCCUGGCGCCGACGCUGUGGAUGUGCGCGGAAUGCGCACGUGGUAGGGGAGCGUUCCCGUCAGCGGUGAAGGAGGAGCGGAAGCGAAUCUGGAGCGGCGGGAAGUGCGAAUGUCGGCAUGAGUAGCGCGAGGGGGGUGCGAAUCCCCCCCACCGAAUGCCCCAGGGUUCCGCAGCCAUGCUGAUCAGCUGCGGGUGAGUCGGGCCUAAGCCGAGGCCGCGAGGCGUAGGUGAUGGACAACUGGUUCAGAUUCCAGUACCGCUCGGCACCGUUUGAGCGAUGGGGGGACGCAGGAGGAUAGGUCCGGGGGUGCAAACCCUCCAAGCCGGUAGGGAGUGACGAUAGGCAAAUCCGUCGUCAUGUUGAACCGAGGGGUGAUGGGAAGCGGCGGCCUGCGGGCCAAAGCGCACGGAUUGAGUCCCAACUGCCAAGAAAAGCCUCUAGCGAGGGGACGAGCGCCCGUACCGCAAACCGACACAGGUGGGCUGGUAGAGCAUACCAAGGUGGACGAGAGAACCUCCGUCAAGGAACUCGGCAAAAUGGCCCCGUAACUUCGGGAGAAGGGGCGCCCCGGCAGCGUGAAGCGGCAGGCCCGUGGAGCGUGAGGGGGUUGCAACAAGCAGGCCCAGGCGACUGUUUACCAAAAACACAGGUCCCUGCGAACGCGGUGGUGCGGACGUAUAGGGGCUGAGACCUGCCCAGUGCCGGAAGGUUAAGGGGAGCGGUGCGAGCUGCGAACCGAAGCCCCGGUAAACGGCGGCCGUAACUAUAACGGUCCUAAGGUAGCGAAAUUCCUUGUCGGGUAAGUUCCGACCCGCACGAAAGGUACAACGAUCUGGGCACUGUCUCGACGGGGGACUCGGCGAAAUUGUAGGGACGGUGAAGAUACCGUCGACCCGCGGCAGGACAAAAAGACCCCGUGGAGCUUUACUCCAACUUGUCGUUGGGCGAAGGCGCGCGUUGUGUAGGAUAGGUGGGAGCCGGGGAAGCCGGGGCGCCAGCCCGGGUGGAGGCGCCGUUGAAAUACCACUCUGCGCGUGCCGUCGUUCUCACUCGCGUCCGUGAUCCGGACCGGGGACCGCGACUGGUGGGGAGUUUGACUGGGGCGGUCGCCUCCUAAAGAGUAACGGAGGCGCCCAAUGGUUCCCUCAGGCCGGAUGGCAAUCGGCCGGAGCGCGUAAGGGCAGCAAGGGAGCUUGACUGCGAGGCCGACCAGCCGAGCAGGGACGAAAGUCGGGCCUAGUGAUCCCACGGUACCGGGUGGAAGGGCCGUGGCUUAACGGAUAAAAGCUACCCCGGGGAUAACAGGCUGAUCCUGCCCAAGAGUCCAUAUCGACGGCAGGGUUUGGCACCUCGAUGUCGGCUCGUCGCAUCCUGGGGCUGGAGAAGGUCCCAAGGGUUGGGCUGUUCGCCCAUUAAAGCGGUACGCGAGCUGGGUUCAGAACGUCGUGAGACAGUUCGGUCCCUAUC
rnacentral:rRNA from 1 species